UAUUUUCAUGAGGAGGCAAUUUUGGGUACUACCCAAGUAUCGACCCAUCCCCCCCACGACAAUUCCAUGUAUAUCGUGCAUUACUGCUAGCCACUAUGAAUAUUACAUA
rnacentral:ncRNA from 1 species